CGACGGGGGGCGGGACUUCCUGUCUGCGGCUUUUCCUGGGCGAAGAAUGGCCGGAAACGGAGGGAAGGGAAGCCGCGGUUUGUUAUUUUAUUUAAUUUAUUUGUCGUUUAAUUUUAGUGAUCGUUUCCUUCUCGGUCGUUCGUGAACUGACCGUCCUGGCUGCGGGAUUCCGGGUUCCAUUUCACGUCUUUUAUUCCGAUGUUUGAAGCCCGGGCCUCUCGAUGGUUAAAUUGUUUCAUUUCCUUACAAAAAAGUGAUUUCUUUAGUUUAAAAACAUUUAAUUUGCAUUUUG